GCCGAGGUAUGUCUUCAACAAGUAAUUUCCUAAAUUAUCUGUAUGUCUGGUUUGAAGAAACUGCCGGUCGUCCAGAUAUGGAGGAACCAGAUAAAACAAGUGGACCAUGCUCUUUUAUUAAAGAGUAAAGAAAGAUUAUUGAAAAAACAAAACAUAUAACUUGGCAACUUAGUAUUCUAAAAUAAAAAAGAUUUGUUUGCUUGGCCCACACAAGAUUUUUACAAUGCCUU